rnacentral:rRNA from 1 species
UACGUAGGGGGCAAGCGUUGUCCGGAAUCAUUGGGCGUAAAGAGCGUGUAGGCGGCUCGAUAAGUCUGCUGUGAAAGUCCAGGGCUCAACCCUGGAAGGCCGGUGGAAACUGGCGGGCUAGAGUCCGGAAGAGGCGAGUGGAAUUCCCGGUGUAGCGGUGAAAUGCAUAGAUAUCGUCAAGAACACCGAUUGCGAAGGCAGCUUACUAAGCUAUAACUGACGCUGAGGCACGAAAGUGCGGGGAUCAAACAGG